GGCCCUACGGGGCGCAGCAGGCGCGAAAACUUUACAAUGCGGGCAACCGUGAUAAGGGAACCUCGAGUGCCUGUAAAUGCAGGCUGUUCAGGUGCCUAAAACACACCUGAAGAAAGGGCCGGGCAAGACCGGUGCCAGCCGCCGCGGUAAUACCGGCGGCUCGAGUGGUGGCCGCUUUUAUUGGGCUUAAAGCGUUCGUAGCUGGGUUGUUAAGUCUCUUGGGAAAUCUGGCGGCUUAACCGUCAGGCGUCUAAGGGAUACUGGCAAUCUUGGAACCGGGAGAGGUGAGGGGUACUUCGGGGGUAGGAGUGAAAUCCUGUAAUCCUCGAGGGACCACCUGUGGCGAAGGCGCCUCACCAGAACGGCUUCGACAGUGAGGGACGAAAGCUGGGGGAGCAAACCGGAUUAGAUACCCGGGUAGUCCCAGCCGUAAACUAUGCGCGUUAGGUGUAUCGGUGACCACGAGUUACCGAGGUGCCGAAGGGAAACCGUGAAACGUGCCGCCUGGGAAGUACGGUCGCAAGGCUGAAACUUAAAGGAAUUGGCGGGGGAGCAC
rnacentral:rRNA from 1 species